UUAUCCAAAGGGAAUGAAAUCAGCUUAUGGAAGAGUUAUCUGAAGCCUCAUGUUUAUUUCAGCUCAAUUCACAAUAGCUGAAAUAUGAAAUCAACCCAGUUGUCCAUCAACUGAUGACUGGACAAAGAGAAUGUGGUAUAUAUACACUAUGGAAUACUACUCAGUCAUAAAAAAGAAAGAAAUCCUGUCUUUUGCAGCAAAAUGGAUGCAACUUGAAAUGAUUAUGUUUAAUAAAAUAAGCCAGUCUCAAAAAGACAAAUAUAUUUUUUCUGUGAUAUAUGGCAGCUAAUAUAGAAUACAAAAGAAUGUAUAGAAAUGAAAUGGAUAGAAAUCCCACUUCAGGAAAGACUGCGAAUGGCCCAGAAUCCUUAGAAAUUAAGGUUUGGGUCACCCCACGGGCCCAGCAACCAGGUCCAACAAAGGUAUCUACUAAAAUCAAAGGGAAAAUAAAUUUAAAAUGCCGGCUAUGACUACAUGACCAGUUAUAGGAAUGAAGAUUGCAAUAGCAAUGAAAAAUUCUUCUUUAUUUUGAUAUGAGUAUGUUUUGUGUAUAUAUCAAGCUAUUCUUUUUUCUUCUCAUCCCAUCUAGCAUAAGGUCUGAUGAUUAAUACUCAACCUUACAUAUAAAUAUUAUAACAAAUCGAAGAAGUUUGACUCAACUAAAGAAGAAUGAAUAUUGGCCUGCGACCCGGCUCACUAGGCUAAUCUUCUGCCUUGCAGCGCCAGCACUCCAGGUUCUAGUCCCAGCUGGGGCGCCGAAUUCUGUCCUGGUUGCUCCUCUUCCAGUCCAGCUCUCUGCUGUGGCCCAGGAGGGCAGUGAAGGAUGGCCCAAGUGUCUGGCCGCCUGCACCCGCAUGGGAGACCAGGAGGAAGCACCUGGCUCCUGGCUUCGGAUCAGUGUAGCUCCGGUCAUAGCAGCCAUUUGGGGGAUGAACCAAUGGAAAGAAGACCUUUCUCUCUGUCUCUCUCUCUCUCACUAACUCUGCCUGUUUAAAAAAAAAAAGAAGAAGAAGAAUGAAUAUCAAUCAAAGACAGAUAAAAGACUUUGUUUUUGGGGAAGAAUUGACAUGUUUUUAGUCAUUUAAGACUGUGUAAAAAUAUAAAUAAAUAAGUAAGUAAGUAAAUAACUGUGUGAUCAUUGCUUUAUCUUAGGUAAAGCAUUAUUUUGUUAUGUUCUUUACUCAAAAUUAAGUCAGGUUAAAAUAGGUGUUUAUGGGUGCCAAUUUGACAAAGGGUAGAUAGAGAGUUACGACUUUGGAUAGUAUGAAGUUAGCUAAUACAAUAUAUGGCUUCUCAAAAUUCCACUCCUUAUAUGGUUCCAAGUUAAGGUUAGCAACAUAAAACAUAUGCACAAGAUUUACAAAGUGAAAGUGAAGCAGAAGCCAUUACCAUCUGAAAACAGUUGAAGGGCAAUCAGGUGUUUAGCAGCUAAUUCACGAUGCUGUACUGGUAGUUCUACUUGUGGGUGUGGUAUAGUAUCCAAGUUUGUGGCUGCUUUUUCUCUGGUAUUAUCUCUUCCUUUAGCUUCUCUGACUUCUUGGCCAAAAGCAUGUACAAUUCAUGACAUAGGAAACCAGUUACUACUGCAGGUCAUUCAUGUUGUCAAGGUUUGAGCAGGGAGAACAGAGGCUACAGGUUUUAGUUUGUUCCACUGGUUUCCAGUUUGCCUUGUUCUCUCUCACUUUAGAUCCAGCUUUUCUUCCUGACUGCCAGACCUGUUGACCUACAAAGCAACCAUAGGAUCAGGAGCAGAUAAGGAAUUAGCCUCCCAAAGGCUUCAUCACCAGCUCCUGUAAUCGAUCAUGCCAUAAAUAUAUAUAUAUAUAUAUAUAUAUUUAUACUUUGAUGGCAUACAUUAGCUAAUAUAUUAAGAUUUUUGCACUGUACUUGUAAAUAAGAUUGCUCAUAAUUUUACUUCUUUUAAACAGACUUUUUUUAGUUUAUUUACUUUUAUUUGGAAGACAUAGAGAGUGAGCUUCCAAUCAUUGGUUCAUUCCCUAGAUGCUCACAACAGGACUGGGCUGGGCCAGGUCAAACUCAGGAGCUGGGAACAACAUCUGGAUCCCCCAUGUGGACAUCAGAGAUUCAAAUACUUGAGCCAUCAUCUGCUGCCUCCCAGGGUUCACAUUAGCAGGAAGUUGAAUUAGAAGUACACCCUGGACUUGAACCCAGACACCCCAAUAUGGAAUACAGGCAUUCUAAGAGGGAGCAUAAUUUGUUGCAUCACAAUGCCUGUCCCAUUUUCCUUUUGUAAAUGCCCUUAUUUCACUGUACAAUAAGGUAGAAAUGUUUCUUCUUUUUCUAUUCACUGCAAGAGUUUAUGGAAGACUGGAAUACCUAUUGCUCAAUAUUUGAUGGAAGAAUUUUUAAGUGAUUGAUUUACUGAUUUGAAAAAAUAAAAAAUCAGACUGACGAAGGGAGAGAGAAGAAAAAAAGGAGAGACAGAGAUCUUCCAUCUGCUUCAUUCCCCAGCCAGAACUGGGGACACACUGAAGCCAGGAGCCAGGAACUCCAUUCUGGUCUUCCCCAUGUAAAAGAAUGGAAGUUUGCCCUGCAACCUAAGUUCCCUGGAGAGUUUGAGAAAAGUCAUCAGUUUCCAAUUACUUCAGUCUUUUUCUUGUUGCUUCUCUAUAUGAUUUCCCCAAUCAAAUGGGAUAUCAAGUAUUUUUCAAGUAUUUGUAUACUUGACCUCUCUUGUUGCUGGAAAAUCCCUGAUACCCAUUAGUCUAUUGGAAACAUCUUGUGGAAGAGAUCUAAGGUGCUUCAGCCAUCAGCAAGUCAACUACCAGGUAAAAGAAUCCAUCCCAGACCAUCCAAACCUACUUAAGCCAACAACAGACUAUGGCUACAUGAAUGAGCCCAGGCAAGAUCAGUAAGAUUUCCUAGCUGAGCCCAGCCCAAUGAUGAGUCACAAAACAAGUAGCUAAAGAAUGAUUGUUGUUUAAGUCAUUAAGUUUUGGAGACUUUUAUAAUGCUGGAAAGGCUAACUAAUACAGCCACUUACAACAUUAUUGAGUUCCAUUUAACAUGGCUUCCAUUUUCUUCAUGACAUGCAGGCAAAAUUGCCUGUGGAAAAGAGUUUGGGGAAAGUAACAAAGUUCCUGAUAUUCAUUGCAGAAACAAAACAUGAAUAAGUAAGUAAA